AUGCCGUUAAUAAUCUUCCAUGCUAGUGCUCACAGUCGCUCCCUGUCGGAUUACCAGUGUGGAGCUGUGGGACUCUGCGGCUCUGAGGAUUUGUCGGGGGAAGGUGAAGGUCAGCUCCGGUCUUCCCACCAGCAGGGGGAGGCACACUGCACUCCGGCCGACCGGCUGGUCUCUCUUCCACACGUCGCUGGCGUGAUCGUCGGCGCUACAUACUGCGCCUGCGCGCGCGCCGCGGCCUUUUUCCCCCCCGGAGCCGUGCUGGUUCUGCAGCUCUGUGGCAAGCCGCGGAGUUGGGGUUCUGUUCCUCAGCAUGAGGGCAAAACUGACUACUAUGCUCGGAAACGAUUGGUAAUCCAAGAUAAAAAUAAGUACAACACUCCUAAAUACAGAAUGAUAGUUCGUGUAACGAACAGAGAUAUCAUUUGUCAGAUUGCUUAUGCCCGUAUAGAAGGAGAUAUGAUAGUUUGUGCAGCUUAUGCUCACGAACUCCCAAAAUAUGGUGUGAAGGUUGGCCUGACAAAUUAUGCUGCGGCAUAUUGUACUGGCCUGCUGCUGGCCCGCAGGAUGGAGGAGAUGUAUAAGAAAGCUCAUGCUGCAAUACGAGAGAAUCCAGUGUAUGAGAAGAAGCCUAAGAAAGAAGUUAAAAAGAAGAGGUGUGUAUCUUUCUUCUUUUGGAAAGAAAGGUUGGGAGGGGUUCUUGCCUUGUUGCAUCUCACUCAGACUCUGAAAUUGUGCAAACUCGAUCACUAG
rnacentral:lncRNA from 1 species